UGGGGAAUAUUGCACAAUGGGCGCAAGCCUGAUGCAGCCAUGCCGCGUGUAUGAAGAAGGCCGUCGGGUUGUAAAGUACUUUCAGCGGGGAGGAAGGGAGUAAAGUUAAUACCUUUGCUCAUUGACGUUACCCGCAGAAGAAGCACCGGCUAACUCCGUGCCAGCAGCCGCGGUAAUACGGAGGGUGCAAGCGUUAAUCGGAAUUACUGGGCGUAAAGCGCACGCAGGCGGUUUGUUAAGUCAGAUGUGAAAUCCCCGGGCUCAACCUGGGAACUGCAUCUGAUACUGGCAAGCUUGAGUCUCGUAGAGGGGGGUAGAAUUCCAGGUGGAGCGGUGAAAUGCGUAGAGAUCUGGAGGAAUACCGGUGGCGAAGGCGGCCCCCUGGACGAAGACUGACGCUCAGGUGCGAAAGCGUGGGGAGCAAACAGG
rnacentral:rRNA from 1 species